rnacentral:rRNA from 1 species
CUGCCAGACUCCUACGGGAGGCAGCAGUGAGGAAUAUUGGUCAAUGGCCGAGAGGCUGAACCAGCCAAGUCGCGUGAGGGAUGACGGCCCUACGGGUUGUAAACCUCUUUUGUCAGGGAGCAACGCCGGCUACGUGUAGCCGGACUGAGAGUACCUGAAGAAAAAGCAUCGGCUAACUCCGUGCCAGCAGCCGCGGUAAUACGGAGGAUGCGAGCGUUAUCCGGAUUUAUUGGGUUUAAAGGGUGCGUAGGCGGAAUGCCAAGUCAGCGGUAAAAUCGCGGGGCUCAACCUCGCUCCGCCGUUGAAACUGGCAGUCUCGAGUUGGAGAGAAGUAUGCGGAAUGCGCGGUGUAGCGGUGAAAUGCAUAGAUAUCGCGCAGAACUCCGAUUGCGAAGGCAGCAUGCCGGCUCCACACUGACGCUGAGGCACGAAAGCGUGGGUAUCGAACAGGAUUAGAUACCCUAGUA